rnacentral:rRNA from 1 species
AAUCCGUUAUGAGCGAUGGGGUGACGCAGUAGGGUAGUGACGCGGACUGAUGGAUGUCCGUCUAAGCAGUGAGGCUGGUGUGUAGGCAAAUCCGCACAUCGUUAAGGCUGGGCUGUGAUGGGGAGCGAAAAUUGUAGUAGCGAAGGUCAUGAUCUCAGACUGCCAAGAAAAGCCUCUAGCCAGGAGAAGGUGCCCGUACCGCAAACCGACA